ACAGUGUUCAGCAGGUCCUGUUGGAGAUGAUAUGUUCCAUUGGCAAGCUACAAUAAUGGGGCCAGUAAGUAUUCAGAUUAAUUUCAGAAUAAACAGUUUAUGUAAUUUACUCAUUUUAAUCCCACUUUUCUUGUUAUCAACAGAAUGACAGUCCCUAUCAGGGUGGAGUAUUUUUCUUGACAAUUCAUUUCCCAACAGAUUACCCCUUCAAACCACCUAAGGUUGCAUUUACAACAAGAAUUUAUCAUCCAAAUAUUAACAGUAAUGGCAGCAUUUGUCUUGAUAUUCUACGGUCACAGUGGUCUCCAGCACUAACUAUUUCAAAAGUACUCUUGUCCAUCUGUUCUCUGUUGUGUGAUCCCAAUCCAGAUGAUCCUUUAGUGCCUGAGAUUGCUCGGAUCUACAAAACAGAUAGAGAAAAGUAAGUAUGGCCUCAAGAUGGAAAGUUAUCUGUGGUGGGAUGGAGAUGUUUGUCACAAAUCUUUCUUGUUUAAGGGCUGAAUAUCGGCCAGAUAUUUAAAGUGAAGUCCUAAUAUACUCUCCUGGGGCUAGAAAAGAGAAAUAUAUGCAUUGAGUAUUAUUAUAAGUAGAUGAUGCCAGUCUUAUCCCUGAUUGUUUCACG
rnacentral:sRNA from 1 species